GCCUGGCUUGCAUUUCUCUUGGAAGAGAGGCCAUGCGGUGGGAGGUGCUGCAGGGUGUCUCUGUGAGCCUGCUGCUCUUGGCAGGUCUUUGCAGUGGGGUCACGGUGACCCAGAAGGAACGGUUCAUGAUCCUCCAAGUGGGAGCCAACGCCAGCAUCCCCUGCGAACAAGAUGAUGCGACCUACAUUACUAUCCUGUGGUAUCGGCAGAAAAGCAGCAGCACGGAGAGGCAGAUGCAGCUCAUCGGCUACUCUGUAGAACUGAAUGAUCCUGUGAUAGAGAUGGACAAAACCAAAUUCCAUAUUGGCAAAUGGAACGUGUACAAGGCUUUUCUGAACAUUACUGCGGUACAGAUGGCAGACACGGCAAGCUAUUUCUGUGCAGCUAGUAAAGGCACAGCGAGCGCUCUCUGCCUCCCGGCCAUACAGGAACAUCUUAGCACUUCCUGCCCUUCUGUCUAG